GAGUCAGUUGUUUGAUCUGCACUCAAUUGUCCACAGAGAAGAACAAUUUUUUGGGGAAAUUCAUUCAUAUGGCCCACCAGAUUAUGGCAUGGUUGUAAGAUGUAAUUGUUAACAUUCUUCAUAAUUAUAUGUGGAUGGGGUUCUUUGCUCCGAAAGUACCGAGUGAAAGUGCAACCUUUUGUAAUUUACUUAUCCAAUUUUCCAGUACUUACCGCAGUUUUGUUGGCCUAUUUGGACCAGCAGAUGUAUUGCACUUUUUGUUAAUAUUUCUUAAUAUAUUGCUCAAAAUAUCAAGC
rnacentral:misc_RNA from 1 species